GGCCCUCUCUGGGGAGCUGAAGGCCUCCAUAACUGCCAUGGGAUUGAUUUGAGAAAACGAAUACAGCAGGGAUGACUUCCACCAGCUCCACUUUGCAGCUCUGAGGUGUAUUAAAAAUAAACCUAGAGCCCCACCAAAUGAAUCCGCUGGCACGUGGACCUCAGAUGGGGGAAACUGAGGACUGAAUUCUGACCACCCUCCUUUGUUCUAAAUUUCUUCCUGAAGGACCUGGAAGAAGUCAUGCCACGGGCCAGACCUUAACAUUCCUUUCGGCUUACCCCAGGAUUUCAGACAAAGCUUCACUUUCCUAACCAGUCACAAAUCAGAGAAUUUUUGAUUCCACCUAUGACCUGUGAGCUCCUGCUUCAAGAUAUUCCACCUUUUUUAGGCCAAACCAAUGUAUAACCUCCAAGUGUCGAUUUACACUUUCGACUGUAACUUCUGCUUUCCUGAGAUUUACCCCUGCCUUUAAAAACCCUUGCUUGUAAUCCCUCAGGGAGGCCGUGUAUUUAUUAAUCAUGAGCUGCCCAAUUCUCCUUGCUUGGUGCCCUGCAAAUAAACACCCUCUUUUCUCCCACUGCAAAA
rnacentral:lncRNA from 1 species